rnacentral:lncRNA from 1 species
UUUUUAGUAUGUUUUUAGUAGAAUCUAGUUACUUUUAGGGAUGUUUUCAUUAGUUUUUAUGUUAAAUUCACAUUUCGGGACUUUACUAUGAGUUUGUGUGUUUUUCUGUGAUUUCAGGUAUUUUCUGGCUGAAAUUGAGGGACUUGAGCAAAAAUCAGAUUCAGAGGUUGAAGAAGGAUUGCUGAUGUUGUUGGAUUCUGACCUCCCUACACUCAAAAUGGAUUUUAUGGAGCUACAGAACUCGAAAUGGUGCGCUUCCAAUUGCGUUGGAAAGUAGACAUCUAGGGCUUUCCAGAAAUAUAUAAUAGUCCAUACUUUUCCCGAGUUUAGAUGACGCAAACUGGCAUUCAACGCCAGCUCUCUGCCCAAUUCUGGCGUCCAGCGCCAGAAACAAGUUGCAAAGUGGAGUUCAACGCCCAAACUGGUACAAAAGCUGGCGUUCAACUCUAGAAAGAGCCUCUGUACGUGUAACAUUCAAGCUCAGCCCAAGCACACACCAAGUGGGCCCCGGAAGUGGAUUUAUGUAUCAAUUACUUACUUCUGUAAAUCUUAGUAGCUAGUUUAUUAUAAAUAGGACUUUUUACUAUUGUAUUAUCAAUUUCGAACAAUAAUUCACAACCUGAGUAACAAUUUCGCAUACCAAGUUUUUGGCGCCGUUGCCGGGGAUUGUUUGAGUUUGGACAACUGACGGUUCAUCCUGUUGCUCAGAUUAGGUAAAUUUCUUUUUGUUUUCUUGUCAAAAAUUUUUCAAAAAUUUUUCAAAAAUUUCUCCUUUGUUUUCGAAAAAAAAUCUUAAAAUAAAAAUGUUUUCAAAAAUAUAUUUUUCUUUAGAAUUUUUAAGAAUGAAUUCUAGUGUUUCAUGAAGCAUGUUGAAGCCUGGCUGGCUGUAAAGCCAUGUCUAAAUUCUUUGGACUGAAGUUUUGGCUUAAAAUUGAAUGAAUUACACUCAUAUUUUGACUAAAGCUUGGCUGGCUAUUAAGCCAUGCCUGACCCUUUGAUUGGAGCUUUAGACUAACAUGGCAAGAUUCCUAGAAUUCAUAUUAAAAAUUUUAGAAUCCUUAUUUUUCUUUUUCAAAAAUGUUUUUUCGAAAAAAUUAAAAGAAAAUACAAAAAAAAAAUUCAUAAAAUCAUAAAAAUAAAAAAUAUUUUGUGUUUCUUGUUUGAGUCUUGAGUCAGAUUUUAAGUUUGGUGUCAGUUGCAUGUGCAUCUUGCAUUUUUCGAAAAUUCAUGCAUUCAUAGUGUUCUUCAUGAUCUUCAAGUUGUUCUUGGUAAGUCUUCUUGUUUGAUCUUGAUGUUUUCUUGUUUUGUGUUGUAUGGUGUUUUUCAUAUGCAUUCUUGAAUUCUUAGUGCCUAAGCAUUAAAGAUUUCUAAGUUUGGUGCCUUGCAUAUUUUCUUUGCAUUAAAAAUUUUUCAAAAAUAUGUUCUUGGUGUUCAUCUUGACAUUCAAAGUGUUCUUGGUGUUCAUCUUGACAUUCAUAGCAUUUUUGCAUGCAUUCAUUGUUUUGAUCUAAAAAUCUUCAUGCAUUGCAUAAUUUUCAUGUUUUUCUCCCUCAUCAUUAAAAAUUCAAAAAUCAAAAAAAUAUCUUUCCCGUUUUCUCUCUUAAAAUUUCGAAAAUUAGAUUUGACUUUUUCAAAAAUUUUUAAAAUCUAGUUGUUUCUUAUGAGUCAAAUCAAAUUUUCAAUUUAAAAAUCUCAUCUUUUUCAAAAUCUUUUUCAAAAAUCAAAUCUUUUUCAUUUUUCUUAGUUAUUUUCGAAAAUUAUAAAAAUGUUUUUCAAAAAUCUUUUUCUUAUCUUUAUCACAUAAUUUUCGAAAAUAACAUCACCAAUUAAUGUUUUGAUUCAAAAAUUUCAAGUUUGUUACUUGCUUCUUAAGAAAGAUUCAAACUUUAAGUUCUAGAAUCAUAUCUUAUGAUUUCUUGUGAAUCAAGUCAUUAAUUGUGAUUUUAAAAAUCAAAUCUCUUUCAAAAAACUAAUUUCUAUCAUAUCUUUUCAAAAAUAUCUUCUUAUCUUAUCCUUUUCAAAAAUUUGAUUUCAAAAUAUCUUUUCUAACCUCUUAUCUUCUUAUCUUUUCAAAAUUGAUUUUCAAAAUUUGUUUCAACUAACUAACUAACUUUUUGUUUGUUUCUUAUCUUUUUCAAAACCACCUAACUAACUCUCUCUCUCUAAUUUUCGAAAAUAUCUCCCUCUUUUUCAAAAAAAUUCUUUUUAAUUAACUAAUUAUUUUAAUCUUUGAUUUUAAAAAUUUUCGAAAAUUACUAACCUUUUUCAAAAACCAUUUUCGAAAAUCACUAACCCUUUUUCAAAAAUAAUUUUCGAAAAUCCUUCUCCCUCAUCUCCUUCUAAUUAUUUAUUCAUCUACUAACACUUCUCUUCCUCACAUCACUCACCAAAUUCGAACCCCCUCUUCUAUCUGUGUUCGAAUUUUUUUUUCUUCUUCUCUUCUUCUACUAACAAUAAGGAACCUCUUUACUGUGACAUAGAGGAUUCCUCUUCUUUUCUUGUUCUCUUCUCUUUCUUAUGAGCAGGAACAAGGAAAAAGGCAUUCUUGUUGAAGCUGAUCCAGAACCUGAAAGGACUCUGAAGAGGAAACUAAGAGAAGCUAAAUUACAACAAUCCAAAGACAACCUUAUUGAAAAUUUCGAACAAGUAAAGGAGAUGGCAGCUGAACCCAACAACAAUAAUGCAAGGAGAAUGCUUGGUGACUUUACUGCACCUAAUUCUAAUUUACAUGGAAGAAGCAUCUACAUUCCUGCCAUUGACUGUCUGAAUUAGUUAAAAUGUCAUUGGAUACCUCUGCAGGUGGAUCCAUUCACCUAAAGAAAAUGCCUGCAGAAGCUCAAGAACUCAUUGACAUGGUUGCUAAUAACCAGUUCAUGUACACUUCUGAGAGGAAUCCUGUGAGUAAUGGGACGCCUCAGAAGAAGGGAGUUCUUGAAAUUGAUACUCUGAAUGCCAUAUUGGCUCAGAAUAAAAUAUUGACUCAGAAAGUCAAUAUGAUUUCUCAGAGUCUGAAUGGAAUGCAAGCUGCACCCAACAGUACUCAAGAGGCAUCUUCUGAAGAAGAAGCUUAUGAUCCUGAAAACCCUGCAUUAGCAGAGGUAAAUUAUAUGGGUGAACCUUAUGGAAACACAUAUAAUCCAUCAUAGAGAAAUCAUCCAAAUCUCUCAUGGAAGGACCAAAGGCCUUAACAAGGCUUUAAUAAUGGUGGAAGAAACAGGUUUAACAAUAAUAAUGAUGAGGAUGAAUUCAUCAUCCUUGGAAGACCCUUCCUAGCCACAGCAAGAGCUGUGAUUGAUGUGGACAGAGGAGAAUUGAUCCUUCAAAUAAAUGAGGAUAACCUUGUGUUUACAACUCAAGGAUAUCUCUCUGCAUCCAUGGAGAGGAAGCAUAAAAAGCUUCUCUCAAAGCAGAAUCAAACAAAGCCCCCACAGUCAAACUCUAAGUUUGGUGUUGGGAGGCCACAACCAAACUCUAAGUUUGGUGUCAAACCCCCAUAUCCAAACUCUAAGUUUGGUGUUGGGAGGUUUCAACAAAGCUCUGCACAUCUGUGAGGCUCCAUGAGAGCCCACUGUCAAGCUAUUGACAUUAAAGAAGCGCUUGUUGGGAGGCAACCCAAUGUUUAUUUAUCUAAUUUUCAUUAUUUUUCAUGUUUUAUUAGGUUCAUGAUCAUGUGGAGUCACACAAAAAAUGAAAAAUUUAGAAACAGAAUCAAAAACAGCGGAAGAAAAAUCACACCCUGGAGGAAGCACCUGUCUGGUGUUCAACGCCAGAACAGAGCAUGGUUCUGGCGCUGAACGCCCAAAAUGGGCAGCAUCUGGGCGCUGAACGCCAGAAUUGCACCCUGGAGAAGAGCUGGCGCUGAACGCCCAGAAAUGGGCAACAAAUGGGCGUUGAACGCCCAAAAUGGGCACCAACCUGGCGCUGAACGCCCAGAGUUGUGUGCAAGGGCAUUUUACAUGCCUAAUUUGGUGCAAGGUUGUAAAUCCUUGAACACCUCAGGAUCUGUGGACCCCACAGGAUCCCCACCUACCUCCACUCACUUCUUCUCACCCCUCUUUCACACAAUCCCAUAAACACUCUUCCCCAAAACCCUUCACCAAUCACCUCAAUCUCUCUUCCCUAUCACCACUUCACCACUCACAUCCAUCCACUCUUCCCCAUAAACCUACCUCAUAAACUCCACCUACCUUCAAAAUUCAAAAUCAAUUUCCCACCCUAAAUGGCCGAACCUAACACCCUCUCCCCCCACUAUAUAUAGCCCUCCAUUAUUCUUCAUUUUCACACAACACAACCCUCUUUUCUCUUCUUGGCCGAAACACAACCCCUCUCCCUCUCCUCCAUAUCUUCUUCUUCUCCUUCUAUUCUUUCUUCUUUUGCUCGAGGGCGAGCAAAAUUCUAAGUUUGGUGUGGUAAAAGCAUAAGCUUUUUGUUUUUCCAUUACCAUUGAUGGCACCUAAGACCAGAGAAUCCUCUAGAAAAGGAAAAGGGAAGACAAAAGCUUCCACCUCCGAGUCAUGGGAGAUGGAAAGAUUCAUCUCCAAAGCUCAUCAAGACCACUUCUAUGAUGUUGUGGCCAAGAAGAAGGUGAUCCCCGAGGUCCCUUUCAAGCUCAAGAAGAAUGAGUAUCCAGAGAUCCGACAUGAAAUCCAAAGAAGAGGUUGGGAAGUUCUAACAAACCCCAUCCAACAAGUCGGUAUCCUAAUGGUUCAAGAGUUCUAUGCCAAUGCAUGGAUCACUAGGAACCAUGAUCAAAGUAAGAACCCGAAUCCAAAGAAUUAUGUUACAAUGGUUCGGGGGAAAUACCUAGAUUUUAGUCCGGAGAAUGUGAGGUUGGCGUUUAACUUGCCUAUGAUGCAAGGAGAUGAGCGCCCCUACACUAGAAGGGUCAACUUUAAUCAAAGGUUAGACCAAGUCCUCAUGGACAUAUGUGUGGAAGGAGCCCAAUGGAAGAUUGACUCCAAAGGCAAGCCGGUUCAAUUAAGAAGACUGGACCUCAAGCCUGUGGCUAGAGGAUGGUUGGAGUUCAUCCAACGCUCCAUCAUCCCCACUAGCAACCGAUCUGAAGUUACUGUGGAUCGGGCCAUCAUGAUCCAUAGCAUCAUGAUUGGAGAGGAAGUAGAAGUUCAUGAAGUCAUCUCCCUUGAACUCUACAAAAUAGCUUUUCCUCAUCUUAUCUGCCAUCUAUGUUACUCAGCUGGAGCUUCCAUAGAAGGAGACAUUCACAUUGAGGAAGAGAAGCCCAUCACUAAGAAAAAGAUGGAGCAAGCAAGAGAGCCCAUUCAUGGAGCUCAAGAGGCGUAGGAAGCUCAUCACUAUGAGAUCCCGGAGAUGCCUCAUAUGCAUUUUCCUCCACAAAACUAUUGGGAGCAAAUCAACACCUCCCUAGGAGAAUUAAGUUCCAACAUGGGACAACUAAGGGUGGAACAUCAAGAGCACUCCAUCAUCCUUCAUGAAAUUAGAGAAGAUCAAAAAGCAAUGAGGGAGGAGCAACAAAGACAAGGAAAAGACAUAGAAGAGCUCAAGGACAUCAUUGGUUCCUCAAGAAGGAAACGCCACCAUCACUAAGGUGGACUCAUUCCUUGUUCUCACUUUCUGUUUUUCNNNNNNNNNNNNNNNNNNNNNNNNNNNNNNNNNNNUCAUACUGAACUAGGAGAGUCAAUAACACUAUCUGAACUCUGAGUUCCUAUAGAAGCCAAUCAUUCUGAACUUCAAUGGAUGAAGUGAGAUGCCAAAACUAUUCAAGAGGCAAAAAGCUACAAGUCCCGCUUAUCUAAUUGGAGCUAUGUUUCAUUGAUAGUUUGGAAUUUACAGUAUAUUCUCUUCUUUUUAUCCUAUUUUAUUUUCAGUUGCUUGGGGACAAGCAACAAUUUAAGUUUGGUGUUGUGAUGAGCGGAUAAUUUAUACGCUUUUUGGCAUUGUUUUUAGUAUGUUUUUAGUAGAAUCUAGUUACUUUUAGGGAUGUUUUCAUUAGUUUUUAUGUUAAAUUCACAUUUUUGGACUUUACUAUGAGUUUGUAUGUUUUUCUGUGAUUUCAGGUAUUUUCUGGCUGAAAUUGAGGGACUUGAGCAAAAAUCAGAUUCAUAGGUUGAAGAAGGACUGCUGAUGCUGUUGGAUUCUGACCUCCCUGCACUCAAAAUGGAUUUUCUGGAGCUACAGAACUCGAAAUGGCGCGCUUCUAAUUGCGUUGGAAAGUAGACAUCCAGGGCUUUCCAGCAAUAUAUAAUAGUCCAUACUUU